rnacentral:rRNA from 1 species
UACGUAGGGUCCAAGCGUUAUCCGGAAUCACUGGGCGUAAAGCGUGCGUAGGUGGCGUGUUAAGUGUGAUGUUAAAUCGUGUGGCUCAACCAUAUCGAUGUGUCGCAUACUGGCAUGCUAGAGGACAGCAGAGGCAAGUGGAAUUUGUAGUGUAGCAGUGAAAUGCGUAGAUAUCGUAAGGAAGACCAGUGGCGAAGGCGGGUCUCUGGACAGUUCCUGACGCUGAGGCACGAAGGUCAGGGGAGCAAACAGG